CCCUCCAAAGCACAAUGGUAGUGUGUUCGCUUCGUAAAUGGAAGGUUGCAAGUUCGAAUCUCGCUAGGGGAU
rnacentral:tRNA from 1 species